UACGGAGGGUGCAAGCGUUUGUUCGGAAUUAUUGGGCGUAAAGCGCGUGUAGGCGGCAGUGCAAGUCGGGUGUGAAAGCCCUCAGCUCAACUGAGGAAGUGCGCCCGAAACUGCAUUGCUUGAGUACCGGAGAGGAUGGUGGAAUUCCCGAAGUAGAGGUGAAAUUCGUAGAUAUCGGGAGGAACACCGGUGGCGAAGGCGACCAUCUGGACGGAUACUGACGCUGAGACGCGAAAGCGUGGGUAGCAAACAGG
rnacentral:rRNA from 1 species